rnacentral:tRNA from 1 species
AAGUGGCGAAAUUGGUAGACGCACCAGAUUUAGGUUCUGGCGCCGCAAGGUGUGAGAGUUCGAGUCUCUCCUUCCGCACCA